AAGGAAUAUUGCGCAAUGGGCGAAAGCCUGACGCAGCAACGCCGCGUGGGCGAUGAAGGCUUCGGGUWGUAAACCCCUUUUCUSAGGGAAGAGUAAUGACGGUACCCGAGGAAUAAGUCCCGGCUAACUACGUGCCAGCAGCCGCGGUAAUACGUAGGGGGCGAGCGUUAUCCGGAUUUACUGGGCGUAAAGMGCGYGUAGGCGGUCCUUUAAGUCGGAUGUGAAAUCUCCCGGCUUAACUGGGAGGGGUCAUUCGAUACUGWUGGACUUGAGUGCAGGAGAGGGAGGUGGAAUUCCCGGUGUAGUGGUGAAAUGCGUAGAUAUCGGGAGGAACACCAGUGGCGAAGGCGGCCUCCUGGCCUGWUACUGACGCUGAGGCGCGAAAGCUWGGGGAGCAAACAGGAUUAGAUACCCUGGUAGUCCUMGCUGUAAACGAUGGAUACUAGGUGUGGGG
rnacentral:rRNA from 1 species